UACGGGGGGAGCAAGCGUUGUUCGGAUUUACUGGGCGUAAAGGGCGCGUAGGCGGCGCAACAAGUCACUUGUGAAAUCUCCGGGCUUAACCCGGAGCGGUCAAGUGAUACUGUCGUGCUAGAGUGCGGAAGGGGCUACUGGAAUUCUCGGUGUAGCGGUGAAAUGCGCAGAUAUCUGGAGGAACACCGGUGGCGAAGGCGGCAUCCUGGACCGAAACUGACACUGAGGCGCGAAAGCCAGGGGAGCAAACGGG
rnacentral:rRNA from 1 species